UUAGAUUUCUUUUGUGCUGUUAUUGUUUUCAUACAAGAUCAUUUGCUCACAGGUUUUUGGGGUUUAAAAUGAAGGAAAACUCCUUUGAGGUACAUGCCCAAUGUUUCUGAAAGGAUUAGGAAAAUAUGCAUGGACUAAGGACAGAGUGUGAGAUUGAUUGCUUUAAAGAAGUCAAUUUAUGAGACGGAGCAUUCAAGGGAGUUCGAGUGAUUUGGUUACCAGGGUAUAUGGACUAUGGAGUGGAUGCCAUCAUAGAGCAGUGAAGAUGAAAAGAAGUAGGAACAAACUUCUACCAGAGAUAGAAUCAGUUGCUUUCUUGAUCCAGGU